rnacentral:rRNA from 1 species
CCCGCUGAACUUAAGCAUAUCAUUAAGCGGAGGAAAAGAAAUUAACUAAGAUUGCCUCAGUAACGGCGAGUGAAGCGGCAAAAGCCCAAACUGGAAAUCUUCACAUUUCAUGUGACGAAUUGUAAUCUAAAGGGGAAGUGCUCAACUGACGGCGGCGCAGAAGUGCCCUAGAAUGGGACGCCAGAGAGGGUGACAGCCCCGUAUGUGGUGCCACUGUCUAACGAGCACUCUUCUAAGAGUCGGGUAGUUUUGAAUUACUGCCCUAAGUGGGAGAUAAACUUCUUCCAAGGCUAAAUAUAUAUGGGAAACCGAUAGCGAACAAGUACUGUGAAGGAAAGAUGAAAAGAACUUUGAAAAGAGAGUCAAAAGACUUGAAAUCGUUGAGAAGGAAGCGGUAGAAAUUUAUUCUUCGGCGGAGGCCUAGUGUGGUUGUCUAACCAUUGCAACUUGCUAGAACCGCAAGGGCUACUGGUUGCACUUGGGGAAACGUCCGCUUUGGUCUUCGUUGUGAGGCAAAAUGAGGUCCAUUCUCCUCAAAAGUUUCUUACCUUUCGGGGUAGGUUGUCUGGUGGGGAUGUGGCCUGAGGGGCUUUUGCGAUUUUGCCAAAAUGGUUUUUACCGACCCGUCUUGAAACACGG